GCUUGUCUCAAAGAUUAAGCCAUGCAUGUCUAAGUAUAAACAACUUUAUACUGUGAAACUGCGUACAGCUCAUUAUAUCAGUUAUAAUUUAUUUGAUGGUGAUUUACUACAUGGAUAACCGUGGUAAUUCUAGAGCUAAUACAUGCGUAAGAUCCUGACUAACGAAGGGACGUAUUUAUUAGAUAAAGAACCAAUCCAUGCUUGCAUGGUUUUGUGGUGAUUCAUAAUAACUGAUCGAAUCGCAUGCCUUCGGGCGGCGAUGUAUCAUUCAAGUUUCUGACCUAUCAGCUUCCGACGGUAGGGUAUUGGCCUACCGUGGCAAUGACGGGUAACGGGGAAUUAGGGUUCGAUUCCGGAGAGGGAGCCUGAGAAACGGCUACCACAUCUAAGGAAGGCAGCAGG
rnacentral:rRNA from 1 species